ACAGACAGCCAGGAUGUUGGCUUAGAAGCAGCCAUCAUUUAAAGAAAGCGUAAUAGCUCACUGGUCGAGUCGGCCUGCGCGGAAGAUGUAACGGGGCUAAACCAUGCACCGAAGCUGCGGCAGCGACGCUCAGGCGUUGUUGGGUAGGGGAGCGUUCUGUAAGCCUGCGAAGGUGGCCUGUGAGGGCUGCUGGAGGUAUCAGAAGUGCGAAUGCUGACAUAAGUAACGAUAAAGCGGGUGAAAAGCCCGCUCGCCGGAAGAC
rnacentral:rRNA from 1 species